rnacentral:rRNA from 1 species
UACGAAGGGGGCUAGCGUUGCUCGGAAUCACUGGGCGUAAAGGGUGCGUAGGCGGGUCUUUAAGUCGGGGGUGAAAUCCUGGAGCUCAACUCCAGAACUGCCUUCGAUACUGGAAGACUUGAGUUCGGGAGAGGUGAGUGGAACUGCGAGUGUAGAGGUGAAAUUCGUAGAUAUUCGCAAGAACACCAGUGGCGAAGGCGGCUCACUGGCCCGGUACUGACGCUGAGGUGCGAAAGCGUGGGGAGCAAACAGG